rnacentral:rRNA from 1 species
UGGGGAAUCUUGCACAAUGGGGGCAACCCUGAUGCAGCGACGCCGCGUGAGCGAUGAAGCCCUUCGGGGCGUAAAGCUCUUUCGACCGGAACGAUAAUGACGUUACCGGGAGAAGAAGCUGCGGCUAACUACGUGCCAGCAGCCGCGGUAAUACGUAGGCAGCAAGCGUUGUUCGGAGUUACUGGGCGUAAAGAGUGCGUAGGCGGUUUUCUAAGUUCGGUGUGAAAUCUCCCGGCUUAACUGGGAGGGUGCGCCGAAGACUGGGAGGCUGGAGUGUGGGAAAGGCAGGCGGAAUUCCUGGUGUAGCGGUGAAAUGCGUAGAUAUCAGGAGGAACACCUGCGGUGAAGACGGCUUGCUAGGCCAUAACUGACGCUGAGGCACGAAAGCGUGGGUAGCAAACA